rnacentral:rRNA from 1 species
UCAGGAUGAACGCUAGCUACAGGCUUAACACAUGCAAGUCGAGGGGCAGCAUUGGGAUAGCUGCUAUUCAGAUGGCGACCGGCGCACGGUGAGUAACGCGUAUCCAACCUUCCUGCCAGUAGGGAACAGCCCGGCGAAAGUCGGAUUAAUGCCCUAUGUUCUUCAAUGCGGACAUCUAAGUUGAAGGAAAGAUUCAUCGCUGGCAGAUGGGGAUGCGUCCGAUUAGCUUGCCGGCGGGGUAACGGCCCACCGGGGCGACGAUCGGUAGGGGUUCUGAGAGGAAGGUCCCCCACACUGGUACUGAGACACGGACCAGACUCCUACGGGAGGCAGCAGUGAGGAAUAUUGGUCAAUGGGCGUAAGCCUGAACCAGCCAAGUAGCGUGCAGGAAUGACGGCCCUACGGGUUGUAAACUGCUUUUAUGCGGGGAUGAAGUGCGGCACGUGUGCCGCUUUGCAGGUACCGCAUGAAUAAGGACCGGCUAAUUCCGUGCCAGCCGCCGC